rnacentral:rRNA from 1 species
AUUGAACGCUGGCGGCAUGCUUUACACAUGCAAGUCGAACGGCAGCGCGGGCUUCGGCCUGGCGGCGAGUGGCGAACGGGUGAGUAAUUCAUCGGAACGUGCCCAGUAGUGGGGGAUAGCCCGGCGAAAGCCGGAUUAAUACCGCAUACGACCUGAGGGUGAAAGCGGGGGACCGAAAGGCCUCGCGCUAUUGGAGCGGCCGAUGUCGGAUUAGCUAGUUGGUGGGGUAAAGGCUUACCAAGGCGACGAUCCGUAGCUGGUCUGAGAGGACGACCAGCCACACUGGGACUGAGACACGGCCCAGACUCCUACGGGAGGCAGCAGUGGGGAAUUUUGGACAAUGGGGGCAACCCUGAUCCAGCCAUGCCGCGUGCGAGAAGAAGGCCUUCGGGUUGUAAACCGCUUUUGUUCGGGAAGAAAUCCUCUGGGCUAAUACCCCGGGGGGAUGACGGUACCGGAAGAAUAAGCACCGGCUAACUACGUG